rnacentral:lncRNA from 1 species
CCUAGCUCCACUCCUACUCCCCUGGCGCUCUCUUUUGAUGACUUCUGUAACCGUAAUAGCCUUGGUUUCAUGCAUGUUAACAUUAGAAGCCUCCUCCCUAAGUUUGUUUUAUUCACUGCUUUAGCACACUCUGCCAACCCGGAUGUCCUAGCCGUGUCUGAAUCCUGGCUUAGGAAGUCCACCAAAAACUCUGAAAUCUUCAUCCCUAACUACAACGUUUUCAGACAAGAUCGAACGGCCAAAGGGGGCGGUGUUGCAAUCUACUGCAGAGAUAGCCUACAGAGUUCUGUCCUACUAUCCAGGUCUGUACCCAAACAAUUUGAACUUCUACUUUUAAAAAUCCAUCUCUCUAAAAACAAGUCUCUCACCGUUGCCGCCUGCUAUAGACCACCCUCGGCCCCCAGCUGUGCUCUGGACACCAUAUGUGAACUGAUUGCCCCCCAUCUAUCUUCAGAGCUCGUGCUACUAGGUGACCUAAACUGGGACAUGCUUAACACCCCAGCCAUCCUACAAUCCAAGCUUGACGCCCUCAAUCUCACACAAAUUAUUAAUGAACCCACCAGGUACCACCCCAAAGCCGUAAACACUGGCACCCUCAUAGAUAUCAUCCUAACCAAUUUUCCCUCUAAAUACACCUCUGCUGUUUUCAACCAAGAUCUCAGCGAUCACUGCCUCAUUGCCUGCAUCCGUAAUGGGUCAGCGGUCAAACGACCUCCACUCAUCACUGUCAAACGCUCCCUGAAACAUUUCAGCGAGCAAGCCUUUCUAAUCGACCUGGCCCUGGUAUCCUGGAAGGAUAUUGACCUCAUCCCGUCAGUAGAGGAUGCCUGGUUAUUUUUUUUUAAAUGCCUUCCUCACCAUCUUAAAUAAGCAUGCCCCAUUCAAGAAAUUUAGAACCAGGAACAGAUAUAGCCCUUGGUUCUCCCCAGACCUGACUGCCCUUAACCAACACAAAAACAUCCUAUGGCGUUCUGCAUUAGCAUCAAACAGCCCCCGCAUCUUUUCAGGGAAGUUAGAAACCAAUA